GGCAAAAAGUGCCCAUUGACUUCAGUAGAGCAAAGAUUUCACCCCAGAUCCCUGCAAUGUAACUUAGGGAAAUAUAGUUCCAGUUCCCAUGGCUGGCCAAUACAUAGUAGGGAAUUAAAAUAGUAUUGAACUAAUUGAACUUAAAAGCUUGGGGCACUGAUCAGAAUAGGACAUUUCCUCACUAUAUGUAGACAGCAAGGGUCAACCAUUGUUGCAUUGUUUGCUCUAGAGGCAGAAAAGUAUAAUUCAUAAUUCUAUAGGCUCUUUGUGAAUAUACCAUUUUAUAAGGUGGCUCCAAAAGCCUAAAUAUGAAAAGAUGAACAAACAUGGCUACUCCGUGCCAUAUGAAGUUGGUUGCUCUACUUACCAAGUCAUAGUUCAGUUACAUUUACCAAUUUGUAAUCCAUUCCAAUGAUUAAUUGCUCUCACUGUUAAAAUCGGCAUCUUAUCUUUUAUGGGUUUCCUGUCACAAGCAGAGGGAACAUGAGCACCCCAUGUUGGUCCUGAAAAAAACUGCAGAAAAAAGGCUUGUACUGAUAGACCAGCGGUGUCAAACGUACAGCCUCUGGGCUAGAGCCGGCCCGCGGAACAAUUUCAUCUGACCUGCAGUAUCCUCAUUAAUCUUCAGACUUGGCUACACAACCCUGGAAUCCAUACUAUGAGUGUGUGAUUUGUAGAGCACACCAGUGUAUUGUACUGUAGCUACAUCAGUGUGCACUAAGGAAUGUUUGAUGUAUGCCAGCAGGGUCCACACACAGGAGAGUUAGAGAGCAACCCACUAGUGCACUCUACAAAUCACACCCCUGUAGUCCAGACUCCGGUGCAGCAAUCCAGGAAAACCACACAUGCAGAUGUCAAACAAGGUGGUCGCAUUUAAGAGGUGCUGGAGAAGCCUAAGUCUGGCAGGAGCUGAUUCAUGUCUAGGCAAGGCGAAAUGGCACUGAAGAGCACUUACCCACUUGCUGAAGAGUAGAUAACCCAACUUUGCAAGUCAAAGAAAAGGAAACUUCAAGUAAGUCAAAAGGUUAACACCUAUUGCAGCUGGUAGACUGGCAGGCUCACCUUUAAAAAAGAAACAAAAGAAAAGGGAAAAAAAAGUUUGAAAGAAAAUAACGUUCAUGCCUCUGAAUUUAAUUAAUUCACACCUCUGAAAGACAAUAAAAGGGCUUACACUUUCUUCAUUUCUUUAUUCAGCUUGUGACAAGUGGACAUCAUGUCUUUAUCCAAGAUAAGAAAGGUAAAUCAAAAGUGUUGUGCUUUUCGAGAGGAAUGGAGAAUAUCAUUUGCUUUGUGGACAUGAACGGAAAGCCCAUCUGCUUGAUUUGUAAGCAGCAGGUAGCUGUGGUGAGAGAAUACAACAUUCAAAGACACUAUGAAUGAAACCAUGAUGAGAAAUAUGAUAAUUACACAGGAAAGUUACACAAAGAUAAAUACUCUGAAUUUGCUCUGUAGUUGAAAAAGCAGCAAUCAGUGUUUACUAAUGCUCAUCACGUAAGUGAUGCUGCUGUUAAGGCGAGCUAUGUGAUUGCCCAUGAAAUAGAGUUGUCACUGAAACCAUUUUCUGAGGGAGAAAUUUUUCAGAGCUGCAUACUAAAAGCUGCAGAAAUAGUGUGUCCAGAUAAGUGGUAAGUUUUUGCAAAUAUCAGCCUCUCAAGGAUCACAAUCGCUGAGAGAAUCAAUGAUUUAGCUGAGAAUUUGAACAGUCGGCAAUUGUAAUUGAUGAAAGCACAGAAGUGGUGUGUCUUUGCUAGCAGUAUUCAUUUGUGGAGUUGAUGAGAACAUGUGCAUAGCAGAGGAGCCUGUAGAAUUGGUGCCAACGAGAACCACAACAACAACAAAUGACCUCUUCAGCAGCUUAGUAGAAACUCUGAGCAAAUUAGAUGUGGACUCAACAAGAGCUGUGAGUUUGGCCACAGAUGGCUGGGGCACCUUCAAUGGUGGGCAAGAAAGCUAGAGAUGUGACAAAAUUGUAGGCCAAAUUGCAAACUAUCAACCUUACCAGCAGUUUGGCAGUUUUCACUGCACUUUACAUCAAGAAGCUCUCUGUAGUAAAAGUUUGAAUAUGAAUAAUGUGAAGGACGUGGUUGUUAAAACUGUAUAUUUUAUUUGAGCUAGAGGACUCAACCACUGGCAGUUCAGCUGGCUGUUGGAAGAAUGUAACAUUCGUCAUGGACUGCUGUAUCACAUUGAAGUUUAGUGGCUAAGUUGGUGAGCUCUGUUGGAGCACUUUUUUGAAUUGCAUGGUGAGAUUCAACUCUUCAUGGAUCAGACAGGGAAAGAUGUCACUGAAUUACAGGGCAAUGAAUGGCUUCAAGACUGCUUUCUGGAAGUAUGGGAACAAAACCAUGCUCUGAUUUGCCAGAAGCUGGGAAUGGGCAAAACAGGAUGGAUCACUUGGUGAUUACCUGGUGUGUUUAUUCCCUCUAAAGCCCCUGGCAUUGGCCACUGUCAGAAGACAGGAAACUGGACUAGAUGGACCAUUGGUCUGACCCAGUUUGUCCAUUCUUAUGUAUUAUGGAACACCUGAACGAGUAGUGACAGAAUACUAUAAGAAUAUUCACACCUCUGAAAUUAAGCUUCAGCUGUGGGAGAGCUUUCCCAGAGUAACGUGGCACAUUUUCCCACCUUGAAAUUACUACAUGAUACUGUUGGGUCUCGGUGUGAUGAUGCCACAGAAAAGUAUGUGAACAAAACUGCUGAACUGAAAAAGGAAUUUCAAGAAUGAUUUUCUGACUUCAGGAAUCAAGAAGGAAAGUUUGCAAUUUUUAGCACUCUCUUUUCUGUCAGUGUGUACCAGAGGAGCUCCAAAUGGAACUUACUGAACUGCAGUGCAAGACUGAGGAAAGGCAAGUUUUCCAAUAUUGGUAUUCUCAAGUUUUAUCACUAUCUGGGAUCAAAUUAUUCCAAACUGAAGUCCUUUGCAUCAAGAAUUCUUUAAAUGUUUGGGAGCACAUGUGUGAAAAGGUAUGCCACAUCGUCAAUAUCGACAAACCUAAACUAUGUUCUCAGCUAAGUAACACACACCUGAACUUGAUACUCAACAUAGCUUUAGCCCAGUCACUUGCUCCAAAUGUUGAUGUGCUGGUUGAAGCUAAGCGACCCGCGUAUUGGGGAGCAGCAGUAUCAGUCACUAAAAUCUAAAAUAAAGUCAUUUUGGCCCCAACACACUUUACAAAUCAGGAAACAAGCAGUUUCAAGGGCUCCCUGUCCUGCCAAAGAAUUAUAUCCCAAUGCCUCAAUAUCCCCACUUCAGUGGGUUCUCAAAUCUUCUCAAAUAAACAUCAGAAAUAAUGGUAAGAUGUGAAAAACCAAACUAAAAAUCAUUAAGCCACUAAACCCACAAAUGGAUAUUCACCCCUCCUCUGCCAAACUGCACAAAUUGUGGAGAACUGGUGGGUACCAUACAGAAAGGAACAUUUUCUACACAGUAUUUUCCUUCAUAUUACACAGCAACCUCUCUGUGCCCAAGGCCAGGCCAUAGUGAUGCUCCAAAGGGGUGGGGGUGUUUGAAGAGGUGAAAUUAGGACACAGGUCUGUAUGUGGCAUGUUCCCUUCGGGGAAAGGCAUAAGCCAAAAUAACUGUCCCUACUGCUCUAAAAUGCAGUAACUAUUAUUACAUAUUCUGUGAUGCCUUCCCCUGUGCACCUCUAUCAGAGAAUACAGUUACCUUGACUAUGUGCUGUCAUGAGUGCUUGUGAAAGUAUUCAGUUGGCAGGCAAGCAGCAUGGAGUUAAAGGCAACCUACACAGAUCUUAAAACUUGUGAGAUUUUCACUGUUAUUUCUCAGAUACUCCCAGCCAACGUGUGUAAUAUAGGGUGAUGCAUCCACACCUCUUCCAGUGGUCCAGAAAGGGAUCAUGUGGCAUAAUGGUAGAUCCCCAAACGUCUUUGGAGAUCUUGGAAGUCCCUUGGAGGAUAAGCAGCAUUGUAAAGGACUAGUGAAGAAUAAAUUGAAUCCUGGAGGAGGAGAGGUAGAAGAGGAUGAAAGUUCUACUGGAAUUGUAAGAACUGCAAGAACGGCUUCUUGUGCUAUUUUGCCUUCACUCUUAUGGAACCAGAAAUCACAAUGGGAAUGAAAAUUAAAUAAUAAUGAUUUGCUGAGGAUUGGGCAAUCAGGCCACUACACUGAAGCUGUUGGGCUUGGUAGCCACCUUCCAUUUAGGCUACAUGAGGGAACAGUUAAAUGCACCUUUGUUUAGUGAUACCUGAAACAAUGGAAAACCACCACCCAAGGACUAAACUGUAUGCAAGCCUGGGCUGUGGCUGGGCCAAGUGGUCCAAGGGGUUUCCCAGGAAUCUAAUAACAAAUGCAGGGGUGGGGGACUGAUUUGAUUGCAUGUGUAUGUCUGUGCAUGUGUGUGAGAGAGGGAAGCAGGAGAAACAUCAUAGAAAGAAAAGGCAGAAAGGAAACCAUAGAGACAGCCAAAGAAGUAUUUUGUAGUGUGACCCUGACAAAAAGGUAAGACAGAGAGCUUUUGGGCAGAGUGCUGACUGGAAAGGGUCUUGGAACUGUGAGGAAAGAAACUGCCUCCUGAUGUUUGAUUCCUAUAAUGUUCAUGAAAACAAGACCUUAUGUAAAUCCUCUGUAACUAAACAGGACUGCACCUAUGAAAUACCUGACUCCGCCAUCAAUUUCUCCUCCUAAAGGAAACAACCCGAAAGAGCCAGAAACUAUACUAAUCACUCAGGCCAAAAAGGGUUACAAUAAUAAUCAUCACCUAAUUUUUCAAUCCUCAAAAAUGGUUUGGUGUGGUUUGGAUUCCAUUCCAGUUCUAGAUGAAGAUUUUUGGACCAAUUUUAUUUUAUUCAAGCCAACUAGCUGAUCCUUAGGCUGUGUGCUCUUGGUGUAAAAUGAGCAGGAGAUUUACAAACAAAAUCUUGAGGCAGCAUUCUUUAGGGUAAAUUGUGGCUGCAUUUCCCUAAAGUAAAAUGAUCAUUUAUAGCUGGUAUACACUCCGCACAAUGAUGCAUGUGGCCAAGUUUCUUUAAUGAUAUAUGAUGCCUGAAGCAAUAUUUCCCUGGUGUAAAGAACAUAAGAAGCUACUGCUGGCCUUUUCCUAUCUAUGGUGAUGCAUGAAACAGUUUCUCCGAUAUCCAGUGAUGCAUGAAGUUGUGUUUCCCUUAUGUAAAUUGAUAUAAGAUGUAGUGUUUUUCUGAUGCCCACUGAUGUGUGAUUCAAUUUUUCCCAUGUGAAAAGAGAAACAUGAGGAAAGAAUUCCUUGAUGUAAAGUGAUAUGUGAUGCCAGGGUUCACUGACAUAAAUUGAUGCACGAGAUGCUGAGAUAGCAUUUCCAUGAUGUAAACUGUUGUAUGAAGCUGGGGUUUUUUUUAUAUUCAUUGUAAGUGGUGGCUGCAUUUCCCCUAUGUAAACAUAUACAAGACAACAUUUUUCAGAUGUCCUUUAAUAUUAGAGGCCCACAAGGGAUGCAUUCAUCCAUGUCUCUAUGAUUUAAAAAGUGAGACAACCUUCCUAACGUAUACUGUAUCUACCAUUUAAUAAGGCAUGAUACCAAUCUGUCUUAAUGUAAAUUGACGUACCUAAUACCUGCUCCUAUGCACCCCAACUGGGCUGUACAUUCCAAGUUUCCAUUCCAAUAUUUCUGCAGAUGCUAGGAGAUGAACGUAACAUCCUUCAAAUCACCUAAUAUCAUAGUGUCUAACAAAGUUAGGACACUCCAGGAACCAGUAUCAAAACUCAAAUACAGUGAUAGCACCUAAAAAGUUCAUUCCAUUUUCUGCAGCGGUGUUUCCCAUUUUAAAAGUAUAGCAGUCUGGUUGCCAAAUGCAAUAUUUUGGCAAUGUCUUACAAUGUGUUUUCUUUUUAAUUCUGAAUUUCAAGACCCCAAAUUCAAAGAAACUGCUUGAUGACACCUUGUCACUAUUGAGCAUUUUGAAAUAUAAGAAGUUAUUUCCACCCCAUCCUGAUUCACAAGCCAGGUGAUGGUGAAACCACUUUCACUGAAUCUCAAUUAUUUUCAAUAUAAACUUCACACUAAUAUUUUAUUAUGGAACUAAUUAGCUAGGAGAUGCAUCUGUUAUGUCUGUAUCAGUGUGUGUAUUAGCAGUAUAUCUUGCUAUUAUGUCCUCUCUUUCUCCCUAAACCAUGACAGAAGGCAUAUUCUUCUUGUAUUCUCAGAGCACGCUCACUUAACAAAUUCUUACCUAUUCACUCAUAAGAAUUAAUUUUCAAGUAUCGGACAACUAUAGAAAUUCAUAGAUUAUAAACCAAACACACAUUACACGCCAGUUCUUCUUUGUGGAUCUCUUCUGUUGCAUUUGAAGUCAAGAAUCGCUGCAGAUGCAAUGGACAGAGAAUCUGCUAUUAAGAAACUGGAGCCAUGGAUACAUCCCUUUGACCCAAGUAAGCACCCAGAGACAAUAGUACCCAUUCAGUGGUAUAGGGGCGCCACCAUCAGUCAAGGUAGGUGACACACUUCCAACUGGAAUUCACCAAAUGCAAAAAUUUAUAUGUAGCUGGCCCACAGGGUUUUGUGGCCCAACAUCAAGGAUAGUAGAAACACUGGCAGUGACAAAAAAGCAUGUACAAGCUGGUCCAGCAAAAGGUAUUUGACACUAACCUUAUCUAUUCAAGAGUGAUAGGCCUCCCUUUAAGUUCACAAGAGGCUAUCAAGAAUAUUUUGCCACAUGAUUUGGCUCCUGUACUAACAUCAAUGUUCACUGACUCUGAUGACAUGAGGAUAGCCAAGGCUAAGUCUAACCUAAAGAAGAAGCAGCAGACAAAGGUGUCAACUAGAUGUACUUCACAAGAAGUCAGCUGCACAGUCAUUGACAAUUCUGCAGUUCUUAGGGUAGUACAUAGGCCAGCAAGAGAUAUCAAGGCCUUUGUGACCAAUUUCAGCAUCUACACCGAACACAAGUUGGCAGCAGAUGAUGUACACCUUGUCUUUGACAGGUACAAAGACUUCAGCACAAAGCGUGUCACAAGAUCUAGCAGAGCUAUAGAAGCAAGCAGAAUGAAUCAGUUGAGUACAAAUACACAGUUACUUCCACAGAAAGUUGUCUUAACAAUUACUGAAAAUAAGAAACAGUUGAAUGAAAUCAUCAUUUGUGCAGAACACAUUCAAGACAAGUUUCACCUUUGACACACACUAAAGCAUAAGGUAGUCAUCACAUGCGGAGACUAUACCCCACCUGAAAUAUACCAGGGAGGUGUGGUGAUCAACAGAAAAGAUAUGGCAACCUCACAUGAAGAAGCUGACAACAUCCUUGUACAGACUGAUGUAUUUGUCUUACUCUUACACUAUAACCUGAUAAAGGGCCUAACGUCUUUAGUGAUUAUGGUAGCCCCAGUCCAAGACAGACCUGUAAUAGACAUCCAUGCUACUGCCGAGCAACACCAGAAAGUUGUACAAGGACCGUUAGCUGCCAAUGGUCUCUCAGGCUAAUACAAUAGCUUUCUACUUUCGCCUUGACAAAGGCACUGUAUUGAAGGCACUGUAUUGAUACUCCCUCUCCAUCCUGGGUGACAUCAGUGCAGUAGUACUCUGCAUUGAUGUCAGUGAAAUACCCGCAAACACAUAUGUGUGCCAUCUAUCACCCUGCCACAGUUAGGGAAUCUCAUUGCCGUAAAGCCAUCCACAAUUUCAUGCACAUUGCCAAGAGUGGUAGCAGGAUCUGAUUAAUGGCCCUUGCACACUUGCAUUACCGCAGCCCCAACGGUCAACUUCCCAACUCCAAACUGAUUCAUGACUGACUGGUAGCAGGCUGGAGCCACCAACUUCCACACUGCGAUUGCCAUGGACUUCUCCACUGAGGGGGCAGCUCUCAUUUUGGUGUCCUUGCACCGCAGUGCUGGGGCGAGCUCCACACACAGUUCCAGGAAUGUGGC